CUGCUAGUUUACAAGCUACUAUUUAUACGUUUUUAUUUUCUGCAUUUGUUUGACCAGGCGGUGAACGCCAAUGUUGAAGUAUGCCGUGAUUUUAAACGAGGAGAAUGCAAUCGAUCUGCCUGUCGCUUUUUCCAUCCACAUACAAGCUGAAGUUUUCUGUUGCCUAAAGAAUACAGUGCCAGGUACCAAGCUGAUUGAAACGGCAAGGUAUCUGAAAGGUUGGGUGAUGAUGAGGCCUUAUGCCAAGCGUGCCAUUCUGUUGCUGCUCGAAUGCGUGCGGUCUACAGGUAAGCGAUUUUAAGGGCAUGUACAACGGCCAUGUACAAUUGGUUUUCUAUGUACAAGAGACAUUUAAGAAACUGUAUCAUACAGUGGAGAGUUCUUAAAAUCAGUCAUAUCAGAC
rnacentral:lncRNA from 1 species